UGGGGCGUCGCCAAGCGGUAAGGCAACGGGUUUUGGUCCCGUUAUUGCGAAGGUUCGAAUCCUUCCGUCCCAG
rnacentral:tRNA from 10 species